GCCCAUUUAAAGCAGUGGUUAGCUUGCUGCCCUCCGAUUCCUUCCUUUGUCGGGCGAGGCAGAAGUCGCGGGUUCGAAUCCCGCAAUGGGUU